UGGGGAAUUUUGGACAAUGGGCGAAAGCCUGAUCCAGCCAUGCCGCGUGAGUGAAGAAGGCCUUCGGGUUGUAAAGCUCUUUCAGCCGGGAAGAAAAUGUACGGGCCAAUACCCCGUGCAGAUGACGGUACCGGAAGAAGAAGCACCGGCUAACUACGUGCCAGCAGCCGCGGUAAUACGUAGGGUGCAAGCGUUAAUCGGAAUUACUGGGCGUAAAGCGUGCGCAGGCGGUGAUGUAAGACAGUUGUGAAAUCCCCGGGCUCAACCUGGGAACUGCAUCUGUGACUGCAUUGCUGGAGUGCGGCAGAGGGGGAUGGAAUUCCGCGUGUAGCAGUGAAAUGCGUAGAUAUGCGGAGGAACACCGAUGGCGAAGGCAAUCCCCUGGGCCUGCACUGACGCUCAUGCACGAAAGCGUGGGGAGCAAA
rnacentral:rRNA from 1 species